rnacentral:rRNA from 1 species
UAACAGAGGGAAACUUCUGAUAAUACUGGAUAAGUUAGUAUAUCGCAUGAUAUGCAAAUGAAAGCUACGGCACUAAAGGAGAGCUUUGCGUCCUAUUAGCUAGUUGGUAAGGUAAGAGCUUACCAAGGCGAUGAUAGGUAGCCGGCCUGAGAGGGUGGACGGCCACAAGGGGACUGAGAUACGGCCCUUACUCCUACGGGAGGCAGCAGCU